GUUUUGAUCCUAAACUCACCGCUAUUUUUAAUCAAUUUUAUACAUGCAAGCAUCAACACCCCAGUGAAAAUGCCCUAAACACAAACGAACAGGAGCCGGUAUCAGGCACACACAAUUUUUAGCCCAUAACACCUUGCUUUGCCACACCUACACAGGUCUUCAGCAGUAAUUAACAUUAGACCAUAAGCGAAAGCUUGACCUAGAUAUGAUUAACUCGGGCCGGUUAAUUUCGUGCCAGCAACCGCGGUUAUACGAAAAGCCCAAAAUAGCACAACAACGGCGUAAAGAGUGACUAGAAACGCAUCCGCAGCCCUAAAAACAAAACCCAACUUUAGUGGUAAAAUACCAAAAACCUAAGAAUACCCUACUUUUUAACCCUGCA
rnacentral:rRNA from 1 species